rnacentral:pre_miRNA from 1 species
UGAAAUCUUCAAUUCCGUAGUGCAUUGCAGUUGGCUAUGCGAUGGAAAUCACUGCAAGCAUUGUGGAAAUGAUGAUUUUAUG